UUCGUAGGCGGUUUGUCGCGUCGUUUGUGAAAUCCCGGGGCUCAACUUCGGGCUUGCAGGCGAUACGGGCAGACUUGAGUGUUUCAGGGGAGACUGGAAUUCCUGGUGUAGCGGUGAAAUGCGCAGAUAUCAGGAGGAACACCGGUGGCGAAGGCGGGUCUCUGGGAAACAACUGACGCUGAGGAACGAAAGCGUGGGUAGCAAAACA
rnacentral:rRNA from 1 species